AUAGGGCUGAACUCUUGUAUUCA
rnacentral:snRNA from 1 species